rnacentral:rRNA from 1 species
UACGAAGGGGGCUAGCGUUGUUCGGAUGUACUGGGCGUAAAGGGCGCGUAGGCGGUGCAAUAAGUCAGGCGUGAAAGCCCCGGGCUCAACCCGGGAAUUGCGCUUGAUACUGUUGCGCUUGAAUCCAGGAGAGGAUGGCGGAAUUCCCAGUGUAGAGGUGAAAUUCGUAGAUAUUGGGAAGAACACCAGUGGCGAAGGCGGCCAUCUGGCCUGGAAUUGACGCUGAGGCGCGAAAGCGUGGGGAGCAAACAGG